rnacentral:lncRNA from 1 species
AUAUUCUGUGGGAAAGUGGCCCACACAUGGUUAGUUCUCAAUGUUUAGAUAAUCUCUUUUCUGAUAACAUUAGAAAUUAGCCCUUCAUAUUUAUACCAAAAUAUGCCAGUUGACAUUUGUACAAAAUAUUCUUUAUGGGAAUAAAUGUAUAGUACAUUUUUGGAUUUAUAAGAUAUUUCUGAGUGCCUGCAAAAUCCAUGGCAAUAUGCUUUAAAUUAUUUCAUUAACAUAAUGUCUCAUUGCGAAUUUGAUCCUUAAAAUUCAAUUUUAUUAGUACAUAUUUAUUUUUUACUCAGAGUAUCAUAUCUCCUAUUAGUCACUGGUGAGAUAUAAGAAAGAAAGAUCACUUCAGGGACCCUCCAUCAUUCUGCCUUCUUAUAUAUCUCAUUACACACAUAGCACUUUUGGAUGGAGAUAUUGGCUUCUUUUUCUUCACAUGAGGUUCUAUGUAUUUAUUUCUAUUUGUCCUAUCUUUGACAUCAAACAUUAAUCACCACAAGGGUCACCCUCUCAUGUUAAAUAGCACAAUUAGGGAAAAUUUUCUUUUUUCAUACAACUGUAACUCACCUUAAUAAAUUCUAAAUGGAAACAAGUACACCGAACCAAAAAAAAAAAAAAUUGGGGACAUUCAAGAUGAUUUAUUGCCUUACAUGCUGUUUUGCGUUCUUUUUGGAAAGCAAUUGUACCGCAGGGUUAAAAAGUUCUGCAUCUGCAGCUAGAGUCCCUAGGUCCAAAUUCCACUCAUGUGUCCUUUAGAAAUCUAAUGCUGCAUCCAAGUUUCCUUAUCUGUAAAAUGAAACAAUUUUUUUUUGUCAAUCAUAAAGUUUUUAUAAGUUUUAAAGGAAAAAACACACUUAGAAUACAUAUUAGAGUAUCCAGCUCAUAGUUGGCAUUCGUUUUUUUUUGUUUGUUUGUUUGUUUUUAAUCAAGAAAGCAUGAUGAAAUAAUAAAUUGCUAAUAAUAGGCAUGGAGCUGUGCCAUGCAGGUCCCCAUCAAGGGAGAGCUUGUGAUCCUGCUGCAUUUGGUGGGCAGUGUAUAUUGCUUCAAUACCUCCUUCAAGAUCCCAACCUUUGGGAUGUCUUGAGGAUGUGCCUUGAUUAGACGCAUGGGCUGACCACGGACAUGGAAAGGGUUGCAGAGCACUUUAGGGCAUGGUGAGUUUUCUCCAUUGUGAUAUAGCCAUACUGGACCAAAGGCUAUGACAUAGGUUGUUAUCAAAUUACAUCAUCAUAUGAUUAAUUAUGAAAAGAGGGGAAAGCCCUAUGUUACUUGUGGUCUUUGUUAUAUCGUGCAUUUUUCAUGUCUUCUGUGAAUCAAAGUCAUUUUUUGUUGAUUAAUAUUUGGAAAAUACUUUUAUAUACUUUGAUGAACUGAGCAGAAAACAAUUUCUAGUUUUCCUGCCACUGAUUUGCAUUGGCAAUUUUCAGUUGUUGUUCUAGACAUGGCUUUUAAAUUGCUUUCAGAUUGAAUGACAGCCUUAAAAAGGAGGCUAGGACUCAGGGACCAAAAUAUUUGUGGUUCAAUUUCAAUCAUGUAACCAAUCUGUGUUUCUUUUUCCCUAGUCUUUGCAUUCUAGAAGAGAAUGGGUAAAAAGACUGUUUUCUAAAUUUCUAGAUCAAUUUGUAAUAUGAACGAAGAAAAAUGAUGUUAGCCACAAGCCUUCGUUCAUAUAUUUAAACAUACUCUGCGCUGUAUUAUAAGUGAAUCUUGGGUCCGUGUCUAUCAAGGUGAUGUUCAUAAAAAAACAGAGUUGUAUCUAGUUUAUGAAUAUGAUUUCAACAGAACUAAUGUCUAUGGAUUCUGUCCAUUUUGUCAGAGAGCAUUAUCAUCUUUAAUGAUUUUUACAUUUAAAAUGUAAACUAAGAAGGAUCCCAGUAAUUCCAUUACCAUGGAUAAAAUUUGUGUGUCUGAAAAAGAAUGCACUUAUUGGUAACUUAAAAGACAAAACUGAUACAACUUUUAAUCACAUAAGUCACUUCUUAGAUGGGAAAACAUAUUUCAGAAACAUCGACAUCUUCCAGUUUCAAAGAGAAGUUGUAUGGGCAAUGAGACUUCCUGCCCAUCAAAUGUCAUUUAUCUCACAGUCCCUAAAAAUUAACUCCGACUAAUAGGGGUCAUUCUUAACUUCAUGACCCUUCACAAGAAGAACAACUAACAGUGUUCAAAAACAAGAUACCACUGAGACAAUCUUAGAACCUGGGUGGGGGCAAGGGGUGAGGUUGAAGCAACCCCUGCCAGGCAGAGACCCAGACAGACUGCAUUAGAGGGUAAAAGAGGCAGCUACCCAUUGACCACACUGCCCCUGCCCCAGGCCAGCUCAGCACCCCUGGGAGGUCUCUGCUCAAACUCCUCCUCCUGUGGGCGAAGAUACCAGGGGGAUAAUCAGCUCCCUCCACCAGCAUUGUGGGUUUCUUUGUAUCCCCUUAUUCUGAUCUCAUCCCCUGGGGAGUUCAGGGGCAUGUUUAGGGCUCAGUCACUGGGAACCUGAUUAUGGCAGAAAGCAGGCAGAGACUUACAACAAACAGAACACAGAUUUGGCAGACUAACUAUACCUGCUGUGCUUAAGUAGUGAUCCCGCCAGUGGCUUUGCUCACCUACAGAACCAAGGUUCAUGCAAGUUGACCAGGGAACUCGGCGGGAUACAGAUUUGCCUAAUUUGGAUCCUCAAAGAAGGGAGUUUUGCCAGCCCUACGGCCUGGUUUGCCCACACCCAUGCAAAAAGCUGAGUCAGAGGUCUGACCACUGUUAAAAGUGUCUCCCAGACACAUCUGACCAGAGGUGCUGGCAGAGCACAUGGAAGCUGUGUAACCCAGCAGCACUUGAGCCAAGAGGCAGGCAGGCAGACAGGCAGACAGGCAGGCAGGCAGAGCUAAUUCCCUCCAGAGAAAACCUAGUAACUGGCCUGGAGGGUUUCUGGGCUACUCCAAGCAGAGGAAUCAAUUCAUAGCACAAAAUAAAGGGAGUGCCUGGCCUGGCCUCUUCUAAAGAGAGGGCCUGUUUGGAAAAUUGAAAGUUACCUGGAGCAACCCCCCUCUUUCCUCCCAGGCAAGGGAAUCUAAGAUAGAGCCACAGCUGUUGUGGCUCCCAACCCCAUCUGACCAGAAGGGCUGACAAGAACACCUGGAAGCUGUGGGGCCCAAUAGCACUUGAGCCAAGCAGAGGAGUGGGAGGAGCCAGGAAUUUGCAGAUCAAAGCCAGUGGACCUGCUUGGCCAGGGACUUGGGGCACAGGCAGGCUUGAGUUAAGACAGCAAAGAGCUUUACAGGCUUUAGAGAUGCUUCUCCCACUGCAUCCAGGCAAGGUAACCAAUUUGUUGCUUCACUUCUUGCUGAAUACAGCCUUCUGCCCGCCUGACCAAGGAACCUGAGGAGAGCGCAUAGGAGGCUCUGUAGCCCACCCAACAACUCUGCUUACAAUGACACUUGAACAUGGAGCACAGAGCUGGGCUUCACCCAUCUGCAGAGCGAAACCAGAGGCCUCAGCUGCCCAGGGUGUCCAGUGAACACACUCUUGCCUGAUUCAGGGCCUCAAACAAUGAGCUGAACAGGUCUUCGGUCUUGUCUUGCUGUCCUAUCAGGGAAGGGAAGCUAAUUCAUAGGCCUGUUUUUAUUUGUCAAUAAUCAAUGAUAAUAAAAUUGCCUCCUGAAAAGUAUUUUCAAAUUACAGACCACAGAUUUGAACAACUGCUAAUUUCCAAGCUAUUAGGAUUUUUCGUGUGGGGGGUGAUGUGAGGGUGUCGGGUGGGUGUGUGCAUGCUUCUGGUGGUUGUGGACUGUAGGGAAAGAAAGAUGAGUCAGCUACUCCAGCCGAAAAACAAAUAAAAACGCUCCUCCCUUCUGCAUGGAGGGCCUUGUAUGGGAACAGGGAAAAUCUGUCACAGCCAGGAAAACUAAGCAAUUACUUUAACCUGCUAAAAAUCCCUUCUUACUCCCUAAUCUACUUAAAACAUGAAGUUUCAUUUCCACCCACUACAGCGUUCUCAUAGAUGCAGAUGACAACAAAUACCACAUUGUGCCAGGGUCCCUGGCAGUGGUUGGUAGAAAG